UAGGGAAUAUUGGACAAUGGUUGCAAGACUGAUCCAGCCAUGCCGCGUGCAGGAAGAAGGCCUUCUGGGUCGUAAACUGCUUUUUUCUGUGGAUAAAAGAUCCCUGCGGGGAGCAUCGAAGGUAACAGAGGAAUAAGCCACGGCUAACUACGUGCCAGCAGCCGCGGUAAUACGUAGGUGGCAAGCGUUGUCCGGAUUUAUUGGGUUUAAAGGGUGCGUAGGCGGUUCUUUAAGUCAGUGGUGAAAUACGGCAGCUCAACUGUCGAGGUGCCAUUGAUACUGGGGAACUUGAGUACUGAUGAGGUAGGCGGAAUGGACGGUGUAGCGGUGAAAUGCUUAGAUAUCGUCCAGAACACCGAUAGCGAAGGCAGCUUACUAAGGAGUAACUGACGCUGAGGCACGAAAGUGUGGGGAUCAAAC
rnacentral:rRNA from 1 species